rnacentral:rRNA from 1 species
UACGAAGGGGGGCUAGCGUUGUUCGGAAUUACUGGGCGUAAAGCGCACGUAGGCGGAUUGUUAAGUGAGGGGUGAAAUCCCCAGGGCUCAACCCUGGAACUGCCUUUCAUACUGGCAAUCUAGAGAUCGGAAGAGGUUAGUGGAAUUCCCAGUGUAGAGGUGAAAUUCGUAGAUAUUGGGAAGAACACCAGUGGCGAAGGCGGCUAACUGGUCCGAUACUGACGCUGAGGUGCGAAAGCGUGGGGAGCAAACAGG